ACAUCGUCUGCAGUUACAUAGCCAAUGUUUUUUUGUUGAUCAAUUUGUUAAUUGUUUUGUGAUGUUUAUACAACUAAUAAUUAGUUCAAUUGAUUAGUUUAAAAUUUUUUAGUCCAUCCUAGUUUAGUUAUUAACUAAUUUGCUUCAUUUUAUUAUUUGUUUGCCUCGUUUCCUUUUGCUUCUCAUCGUUUUAUAUCCAGUACUUUGUUUCACCAAUACAUUUGUGUCUAUAGUCAAGUCUCUACAUUGACAACACCAUCUUAACCGGAUGCAUCUUCCUAUUCAUUUACAUCCUUCAUCAUCAUCUACAUCAUCACCAUCAUCAGUAUAAUCAUCAUUAUCAUCUUGUGUUUCUAGAAACAAAAAAAUAAAUAAACAAAUGUUGUUACUCUAAGAUGAUGUUGAUGUUGAAUACAAUUUUGUUUGUCUUGUGAAAAAAAGCUGUAACUAUUAAGGUUUUGCUUCCAAUCAAAAUGUAUCAACAAUCUCAAAAAUAUUUUACUUAUUAAUUAGACAAUCAUCUAAUUAACGAAAGUUAAAGCUCAGGUAAACACCUCAAAGAUUGAAUUGCAGCUACUGGUUAACAGCCCUAGAGACAUGGACAGGUUAGAUUUCAACAGUGAAUCUUUAUCUUAAAGCCUUGGAAAAAUCAACACUAAACCACUUAAAUUGGCUGGAUUAUGUUGAUUAACAUUUUUGACACUUUGCUUGAUCUCAAGUGUCGAACCAUUAAGAUAAUUACAAUCAUUGAUCACAAAUAUUGAAAUUGAAAGAUAAACCAAUUUAAUUGAAAAAAAUCACGUAAAGUAAGUAAAUGUGUGGACAAAAAAGAAGCGUAGACAAGCAAUUUACCUCUCAAUUUAAGUCUCAAUUCAAGCUUCAAGACUACUUUAUUGUAACCUGCAACAAAUGAUUACAAGCCAAUGAAGUGAAAAGUGAAGUCCAACUUAACCGGUCACAAACCACAAGAUGCUUGAAUUUCUUAUGGCCCAUCUUGCUAUAAAAAUGGGAAACUAUCAUCAUCUUGAUCAUUAUCAUCAUCACCAUCAUCAUCAUAAUCAUUAUCAUCAUCAAAUCUAUCAACAACUCCUCCUACCUGGUUUACUUUGAAUGUAUUUUCAGAAGCAAGAAUUGUUAUUGUUGCUGUUGAUAUCAUUUACGGUUAAUUUCAGGUUGAUUGGAGUAAACUGCCUCUAAAAAAGUGUAUUUAUAUUGGAGCAAAUAAUAUAUAUAUUGGUGAAUCAAUGAAGUCUUCACAAUGUUGAUCGUUUUUGUUAUCUCGCUGUUUACAGUAUUUUUUAUCCUGCUCAUCACUUCAUAACUUGUUUUGAUGCAAUUUUUUGUCUCCUCAUUUUAAAGCUCAACAAAAUAAAUUGCGGUGAUAAAUGAUUAUUAUCAGACUAGGGCGAGUGCCCAAAACCAAACAUACACGAUACCAUGUGCUGAUAUAAUUGUAUCAUGUCAAUCAAUGAUGAGCAGUUUUUUGCAUUCCAACGUUGACCAUGAUUUUGUUGACUCUCCUGUAUUAACACAUUGUCGGACAACGCUUUUCUACCUUUUUUGCCAAUUUGAUCACUCAGCCAGAUUUACACAAAACUUGGGACAAUUUAUGUAUUUAUCUCAACAUGAAUCCAUCAACAAUCUCGUCUAAUGAUGCAGGAAAAGGCAACAAAAAGCUUCAUUUCAUUGCGCGUGAUUAACUGGAAACCAAACUCUGUGAUUGCUCAGAUUCAAUAAAUGAAAAUUGAUUUGACUGUAUAUAAUUAACUGCUUUGCAAUCCUUUGAUUCUGUUUUUGGGAUGAAAAAAGGAAAGCGUUGUAGUGAAGACAAAAAAUGAUCUUUAACUAGAAACUUUGUAUCUAUUUUGGCAUUUUUUUGGCUUUACUCAAAAACUAUUUGGCCCCAGAGUUGAACAAGAUGUAAUGCAAAAAAAAGGAUAAAUGCAUCUUCAUGUAUCUUCAUUUCAAACAAACUGUAAUUCAGUUUCUCAAGAAACAUUAAAUCAAGAUAAAGUAACCAAUGGAUAA